rnacentral:lncRNA from 1 species
GAUUAACAUCUUCUGGAGCUUUUCUUGAGCGAACACAUUUCUAUGGAAAAAUAGAACAUCGUAUAGUAGUGCGCCGUCUGGAGAAAAUGAAAAAGAGAAUCGACAGUUGGAAAAGCAAAUUGUUGUCCUCCAGAGGUCGACAACNNNNNNNNNNNNNNNNNNNNNNNNNNNNNNNNNNNNNNNNNNNNNNNNNNNNNNNNNUUUAAAAAAUGGAAUAAUAAAAAAAAAAACAAAGAAAAAAGAAAAAAGGAAACAUGUUGAUUAUAUUUAAUACUUCUUUAAUGCUUAAGAGUCUUUUUAGAAAAAAAAUAAAAAUUGAGUGAUUUCUGCCUCAUAGGAAAAUAACUUUCUCAUGUUUCCCAUAGAAAAGACUUUCUUAUAAAAUAUGGGAAUCAUAUUCCUAUAGGAAUACAACUUUUCCAUCUUCAUACUUUAAAAACUCCAACCAAACAAGAGACAUCUAAUUACUUUUCCGUUGACCACACUUUCCCCCAUUCUUUUUCCGCGAACCAAACGAGCCCUAAUAGGGAACGAAAGAGGUGGUAAAAUCAACAACAGAUCUUGCCCUUAUUUUUUGGAAAAAAAGUAAAAUAAAUUGCACAAAAAAAUGAUAUUUUUCCAAGCUAAAUUAAUAAAUGUAAGUAAUUUGAAAUUAUCUCGAUAUGAUGAAAAUAUGUCUACUUAUAUAAUAUAAUUAUAUUAAUAUAUUAUAAAUAUACUAAUAUAUUAUGUUAAUAUUUACUAUAAACUUAAUAUUAGUAUAUUUUUAUUAUAUAUUAAUUACACUAAAUAUAAAAAUAUAUUUAUAAACUAUAGUAUCUUAAUCAAUAUAUUAGUAAUUAACAUAUUAAUAAAUGUUACUUAUAAACAAUAAUAUAAUUAAUAUAUUAAUAUAUGUAUUGAUAAAUAUUAUUUUUAAUAAAUAUUUAAUCGAUAUUCAUUAAUAAUUAUUAAUCAAUGUGGCUUGGGUUUAUUAAUAAGUAAAGUAUUUACAUAAUACUAAUAUAUUUCUUAAACUGUUAAUUAAUAUAUUUAUUAAUAUAUCAAAAAUAUAUUAAAUUUACCUAUAAUAAAAAAUUAUAUAAUAUAUAAUUUAUUUAAAAAUAUUUAUUAGUUUAUAUAAAUAUAUUUUGAUAUUUGAAAUGAUUAUUAUUAAUAAUUUUUCUGUAAGUGGGCCACAGACUAAGAACAAAUGGACUAAAUAAAAAAAUUAAUACUCAAAUAAUUUAUUGAUAGCCUUUAUGUAAAUAGGGUAUAAAGCCAACAAAUGAAUUGUAUCAAAAACAAUACAUAUAUUACUUAAAUUAUCUAUUCAAUAGUAUUAUUAAAAAGUUGACAAUAUGCCCACAUAAAAUUAUUCAAAACAAAACAUAAUAUUUUUUUUGAUGUUAAUUUUUAAAAUAAUUUUUCUACCAAUCAAAUACAGUAAAAUAUUUUUCCCUCCACAACUAUUUUCUAGAUAAAUAAUUUUUAAAAAUCGUUAGAUUACCCAGCUCAAACAAACUGAAAAAGGCUAUAAUUUUUUUGAAUAAAAAUAAGAUUCACAUCUUAUGAAAAGAAAGAUAUAUUGAGAUAUUAAAAAAAAAAUUAA